rnacentral:rRNA from 1 species
GAUGAACGCUGGCGGCGUGCCUAAUACAUGCAAGUCGAGCGAACGGACGAGAAGCUUGCUUUUCUGAUGUUAGCGGCGGACGGGUGAGUAACACGUGGAUAACCUACCUAUAAGACUGGGAUAACUUCGGGAAACCGGAGCUAAUACCGGAUAAUAUUUUGAACCGCAUGGUUCAAAAGUGAAAGACGGUCUUGCUGUCACUUAUAGAUGGAUCCGCGCUGCAUUAGCUAGUUGGUAAGGUAACGGCUUACCAAGGCAACGAUGCAUAGCCGACCUGAGAGGGUGAUCGGCCACCCUGGAACUGAGACACGGUCCAGACUCCUACGGGAGGCAGCAGUAGGGAAUCUUCCGCAAUGGGCGAAAGCAUGACGGAGCAACGCCGCGUGAGUGAUGAAGGUCUUCGGAUCGUAAAACUCUGUUAUUAGGGAAGAACAUAUGUGUAAGUAACUGUGCACAUCUUGACGGUACCUAAUCAGAAAGCCACGGCUAACUACGUG